GCCACACGCUGGAGAAUACAAGAGCUCACACCCGCUGUGCACAGCACAGGAUGUUCACAGGGCCAGGCUGAUAAUUCCUCCCAAAGGAAUGAACGCUGCCGUCCGUGCCGUGACUCGCAUGGGAAUAUACGUCGGAGCAAAAGUGUUCCUGAUCUAUGAGGGCUACGAGGGGCUGGUGGAAGGAGGCGAGAA